CCGUGAACCUUUACUAUAGCUUGACACUGAACAUUGAGCCUUGAUGUGUAGGAUAGGUGGGAGGCUUUGAAGUGUGGACGCCAGUCUGCAUGGAGCCGACCUUGAAAUACCACCCUUUAAUGUUUGAUGUUCUAACGUGGACCCGUAAUCCGGGUUGCGGACAGUGUCUGGUGGGUAGUUUGACUGGGGCGGUCUCCUCCUAAAGAGUAACGGAGGAGCACGAAGGUUGGCUAAUCCUGGUCGGACAUCAGGAGGUUAGUGCAAUGGCAUAAGCCAGCUUGACUGCGAGCGUGACGGCGCGAGCAGGUGCGAAAGCAGGUCAUAGUGAUCCGGUGGUUCUGAAUGGAAGGGCCAUCGCUCAACGGAUAAAAGGUACUCCGGGGAUAACAGGCUGAUACCGCCCAAGAGUUCAUAUCGACGGCGGUGUUUGGCACCUCGAUGUCGGCUCAUCACAUCCUGGGGCUGAAGUAGGUCCCAAGGGUAUGGCUGUUCGCCAUUUAAAGUGGUACGCGAGCUGGGUUUAGAACGUCGUGAGACAGUUCGGUCCCUA
rnacentral:rRNA from 1 species